AUCUAUUUAAUAAUAUCUUUAAUUCUGUAAGUGUGAAAUUUAGUUAUCUAACUUAUAUCCAUAUUUAUAUCCAUACUUUUAGUAUCAAAUUUAUAUCUAAAUUCAUUUAAAAUAAAUAUGGAUAUAAAUUUUUACAUCUGACUAAUAUUCAUAUCCAUAUCUAUAUCCAUAAAAAAAAAUAAAUAUGAAUAUGGAUAUAUUAGUGCUCGAUCUGGUUUCAGCCCUAGAGACAUGACAUGAUCAAAGAAACUUAUUUUGAUAAUAUAAGGC
rnacentral:lncRNA from 1 species